rnacentral:rRNA from 1 species
AUACGUAGGGGGCAAGCGUUGUCCGGAAUCACUGGGCGUAAAGCGCAUGUAGGCGGGAUAUUAAGUCAGGUGUGAAAACUAUGGGCUCAACCUGUAGAUUGCAUCUGAAACUGGUAUUCUUGAGUAUUGGAGAGGAAAGUGGAAUUCCUAGUGUAGCGGUGAAAUGCGUAGAUAUUAGGAGGAACACCAGUGGCGAAGGCGACUUUCUGGCCAAAAACUGACGCUGAGAUGCGAAAGCGUGGGGAGCAAACAGGAUUAGAUACCCUGGUAGUCCACGCCGUAAACGAUGGGUACUAGGUGUUGGGUGGCAACAGCCAUUCGGUGCCGCAGCAAACGCAAUAAGUAUUCCACCUGGGGAGUACGUUCGCAAGAAUGAAACUCAAAUGAAUUGGCGGGG